GAUGAACGCUGGCGGCGUGCCUAAUACAUGCAAGUCGAGCGAACAGAUGAGGAGCUUGCUCCUCUGACGUUAGCGGCGGACGGGUGAGUAACACGUGGAUAACCUACCUAUAAGACUGGGAUAACUUCGGGAAACCGGAGCUAAUACCGGAUAAUAUAUUGAACCGCAUGGUUCAAUAGUGAAAGACGGUUUUGCUGUCACUUAUAGAUGGAUCCGCGCCGCAUUAGCUAGUUGGUAAGGUAACGGCUUACCAAGGCAACGAUGCGUAGCCGACCUGAGAGGGUGAUCGGCCACACUGGAACUGAGACACGGUCCAGACUCCUACGGGAGGCAGCAGUAGGGAAUCUUCCGCAAUGGGCGAAAGCCUGACGGAGCAACGCCGCGUGAGUGGUGAAGGUCUUCGGAUCGUAAAACUCUGUUUUUAGGGAAGAACAAAUGUGUAAGUAACUAUGCACGUCUUGACGGUACCUAAUCAGAAAGCCACGGCUAACUACGUG
rnacentral:rRNA from 1 species